rnacentral:tRNA from 1 species
UGCGGAUGUGGUGGAAUUGGUAGACACGCCAGAUUCAGGUUCUGGUGUCGGCAACGAUAUGAAGGUUCAAGUCCUUUCAUCCGCAU